rnacentral:tRNA from 1 species
GGGUCGGUAGUUCAGUUUGGUAGAACAAGUGCACAAUGUCGUGGGUUCGAAUCCCACCCGUCCCA